UUCAGUGGCAAGGUUAACCAUCUAGGGGAGCCGUAGGGAAACCGAGUCUUAACUGGGCGUUCAGUCUCUGGAUAUAGACCCGAAACCAGGUGAUCUAGCCAUGGGCAGGUUGAAGGUUGAGUAACAUCAACUGGAGGACCGAACCGACUAAUGUUGAAAAAUUAGCGGAUGACUUGUGGCUAGGGGUGAAAGGCCAAUCAAACCUGGAGAUAGCUGGUUCUCCCCGAAAGCUAUUUAGGUAGCGCCUCGGACGAAUACUACUGGGGGUAGAGCACUGUUAAGGCUAGGGGGUCAUCCCGACUUACCAACCCUUUGCAAACUCCGAAUACCAGUAAGUACUAUCCGGGAGACACACGGCGGGUGCUAACGUCCGUCGUGGAGAGGGAAACAACCCAGACCGCCAGCUAAGGUCCCAAAUUAUAGCUAAGUGGGAAACGAUGUGGGAAGGCUUAGACAGCUAGGAUGUUGGCUUAGAAGCAGCCAUCAUUUAAAGAAAGCGUAAUAGCUCACUAGUCGAGUCGGCCUGCGCGGAAGAUGUAACGGGGCUAAGCUAUAAACCGAAGCUGCGGCAAUGAAGUUUACUU
rnacentral:rRNA from 1 species